AGCGAACGCUGGCGGCAGGCCUAACACAUGCAAGUCGAACGAACCUUUCGGGGUUAGUGGCGGACGGGUGAGUAACACGUGGGAACGUGCCUUUAGGUUCGGAAUAACUCAGGGACACUUGUGCUAAUACCGAAUGUGCCCUUCGGGGGAAAGAUUAAUCGCCCUUAGAGCGGCCCGCGUCUGAUUAGCUAGUUGGUUGAGGUAAUGGCUCACCAAGGCGACGAUCAGUAGCUGGUCUGAGAGGAUGAUCAGCCACAUUGGGACUGAGACACGGCCCAAACUCCUACGGGAGGCAGCAGUGGGGAAUCUUGCGCAAUGGGCGAAAGCCUGACGCAGCCAUGCCGCGUGAAUGAUGAAGGUCUUAGGAUUGUAAAAUUCUUUAACCGGGGACGAUAAUGACGGUACCCGGAGAAGAAGCCCCGGCUAACUUCGUG
rnacentral:rRNA from 1 species